rnacentral:rRNA from 1 species
UCCCGUUGAUCCUGCGGGAGGUUGCUGCUAUUAGGAUUCGAUUAAGCCAUGCAUGUCAUCUAGCAAUAGAGGCGAACUGCUCAGUAACACGUCAAUAAUCUGCCCUUAGAUUCAGGAUAACCUCGGGAAACUGAGGCUAAUACUGAAUAGAAGGAAAAUACUGGAAGGUUUUUCCUUUGAAACAUUAUGGUCUAAGGAUGAGUUGGUGGCCGAUUAGGUUGUUGGUGGUGUAAAGGACCACCAAGCCAAAGAUCGGUAGGGGUCUUGAGAGAGAUAGCCCCGAGAAGGGCACUGAGACACAGGCCCUAGCCCCACGGGGUGCAGCAGGCGCGAAACCUUUACAAUGUACGAAAGUGCGAUAAGGGAAUCCUAAGUGCUUUGCUUUUGCAAGGCUUUUGCCAAGCGUAAAACCCUUGGCGAAUAAGUGGUGGGUAAGACUGGUGCCAGCCGCCGCGGUAACACCAGCGCCACGAGUGGGAACCAUUUUUAUUGGGUCUAAAGCGUCCGUAGCCGGUUUAGUAAGUCUCUUGUGAAAUCAUUGAGCUAAACUCAAUGGCGUGCUUGAGAUACUGUUAGACUAGGAACUUGGAGGAGUCAGAGGAAUUUCUGGGGGAGCGGUAAAAUGCUAUAAUCCCAGAAGGACCACCUGUGGCGAAAGCGUCUGACUAGAAUAGAUUCGACGGUGAGGGACGAAAGCCAGGGGAGCAAUCCGGAUUAGAUACCCGAGUAGUCCUGGCCAUAAACGCUGCGAGCUAGGUGUUGCAUAUUCUCCGUGAAUGUGCAGUGUCGUAAUGAAGAUGUUAAGCUCGCCACCUGGGAAGUAUGGUCGCAAGACUGAAACUUAAAGGAAUUGGCGGGGGAGCACUACAAGGGGUGCGGCGUGCGGUUUAAUCUAACUCAACGCAGAGAAUCUCACCAGGGGCGACGGCAGGAUGAAGGUCAGCCUGAAGGGCUUACCCAACGAGCCGAGAGGUAGUGCAUGGCCGCCGUCAGCUCGUGCCGUAAGGUGUCCUGUUAAGUCAGGCAACGAGCGAGACCUAUACCUACAAUUGCUAACAAGCAGUUAUGUGAUUGAGCACAUUGUAGGAACUGCUCUCGAAAGGGAGAGGAAGGUGUAGGCUACGGUAGGUCUGUAUGCUCCGAAUCCUCUGGGCUACACGCGCGCAACAAUGGUAGUGACAAUGGGAUGCAACUCCGAAAGGAGAAGCUAAUCCUUCAAACACUAUCUUAGUUCAAAUUGUGGGCUGUAACUCGCCCACAUGACGCUGGAAUCCCUAGUAAUCGGACGUCAAAAUCGUCCGGUGAAUGUGUCCCUGCUCCUUGCACACACCGCCCGUCAAACCACCCGAGUAGGGUCUAGAUGAGGCCUUAUUUAGAAUAAGUUCGAAUCUAGGCUUUGCGAGGAGGGUUAAGUCGUCACAAGGUA